UCCUCAGUGUCAGGCCGACUUGCGGAAAUCGGGGAAAUUUUGCACUGGGAGCCGAAACCCGUCGUUCAGAGCUAAAUCGGAAACCGUGGGGAUCCCCAGAGUUGUAGGCCCGCCCACCAGUUAGCUGGUUGUGGAACACCACACUGCCAAGGUCUUCUGUAUGUUUUGUAAAAAAACAUCGGCAGUCUUUUCUAUGUUUUGAAACAGUAGUGAAUUCGAAUGCAAGUGCAAUAAUUGGAACUAAAGCCAAUGCAAAUGGAUUCAAUGCGAAAAGUACUGGCAGGGUGUAAAUCGCGGGGAAACCACAUUAUGUUAUUCCGGAUCCUCUGAUAAGGGCGGAAAGCGCGAGGGCAAACUGCCACUCAUGGAUGGCGCAUCUUCGAACAAAAAGCACGAACCCACAAAGUUAAGUGGUUAGGAUGGAUCCAUUUGCGGGCAUUGGAUAAGUGCUACUUGAUUGAUCGAUCGAUCAACUAUCCAUCCAUCUGUUCCACAAAUAAGUGCGAACUGAAUCGCUUUGGGGUGACAGGAAGUCUAGAUAAGCUAGCGGCUAAUGAUUAUACAAAGGUUUAAACAUUUGAACUAGCGGAGAGCCGGAUAAGCCGGAUAAGCCGGAUAAGCCGGAAAAUAUUUGGUUGCACUCUCCCGCGGAUAGGAAUCGAUGAGAUGCGGAGACAGUGUGGCAGGAUUUACACUUGGUAUUGCGCCGGGGAGCUGUAUGGCAUUGAAUGAUCAUUGUGCGGGGAGCGUCCCUUAUGCGCUUUCUCCGAAUGACGAAUCGGAUCACAUGGACGUGUGGCACUCCGACUGGCAGGCGCCUGAAGCUGAUAGCAAUGACGGAGCCAAUCCUGAGGAUGACCUCAUGCAUGAUGUGCUAGCUGAGCAGCGCUCAAAUGGCGAGGAUAAUGAACUUAACCAUCAGCUUGUGCAGCAAUUAAAUUUGUUGAGGACUCGGAGUAUUUGCGUGAUCCUGGAGAAUUUUUAUUCGUUGCGGUGGACCAGAAGAACCUGUCAAAAAUGAUUGCAGCACGCCAGAAAAUUUAGAACAGAAGCUAAAAAGCCCAAACCAGUUCCAGAUUCUACAAUGCAGGAGGUAUCACCCGUUUUAGAGGGCCAACGUCUAACGACCCACCAUAUACACCGCCUGAUCGAUUUGUACUGCUCGGAGCAUCGUCUCUGGAACCAGUCGCAUUCCUCAACAUGGAGCUGUGCCGCGACUCCUGGAGUAGGAUAACGAAUGCCUGGAGUACUUAUUGCUGCCGAAGCUUCGGCGUGACGGAAGUUCGGAUACGCGUCUCGACGCUGUGUCAAAGAUUUCCCAAGCAAAGGAAGCGCUAGGAGGCGGACUGUGAAUUGGAUGAUAUUACCAAGUUUACGCAUUUUGAACAAUUGAGCUUCCUGUGCAAGCAGCAAUCUUUAUAAAAACGGCAUCGUCACUAUGCCCGAAAGAACAGCCGUCUACUACAGCUUUACGAACAAUAUCCGGUCCUAUGGCACAAUGCACACAAACGGGUUCGAUGUGACGCUCUCCUGGGUCUCCAAAUGGCAUCACGACUUUCGGGGAUUAGCCUGUCGCCCGUGGUUAUCCAGCGACGGUUGCAACCGCUGCGCAAGCGAUAUCGACUGGAAAAGAUAAGCUAUCUGCAAAGUGUGGUGGAGGGAAAGUGUUCGAACCCGAAUUUAUAUCCGGGUUCGAACACUACACGGAAAUGGAGUGCCUGCACAAGCACAUCGAACCUUAUGUGUGUGCUGUUCGUAGAAAGAUUUUUGAGAAUGUAGUAGGUCACCAAAUCCAUGUGCAGAGCAACUGUGAAGUGAAAAAAUUGGGUAAUGCUAAAAACCAGGAGAUGGGAAAACGCAUAAAAGAAGGGCUAAAUGAAGAGAAGAAGUUGGUAACCGAACACGCAGUUGAUUUCUUAAAGGAAAAUUUGAAAGUACCACAAUGGACAAUGAUGCCAAAGGCAUGAACGCAAAUUCCGAAGCACCUUCCAACAAAACGAAACCUAAUUAAUGUGGUUUGCUUUAUUGGAUUUCUUGUAAA